UAACUGUCUCUAAUAUAUUAUAUUUAAAUUAUUUAGGGAAUGAAAAUAUUCCCAUUAAAUAAACUAGACGAGAAGACCCUUAGAGUUAUAAUUAAAAGUUUAUGUGUUGAAUGAAAAUUUUUGUUGGGGCAACAUAGUUACAGAAAAAUUAACUAGAAAAAUUCUAAUUAGUCGAAUUAUUUUAAGUAAAAAUUAACUACCUUAGGGAUAACAGCAUUAUUUUUUUAAUAAGAUUGUGACCUCGAUGUUGGACUAG
rnacentral:rRNA from 1 species